AUUCCCCUAGUAACUGCGAGUGAAGCGGGAAAAGCUCAAAUUUGUAAUCUGGCGGCCUUCGGUCGUCCGAGUUGUAAUCUAGAGAAGUGCUUUCCGCGCUGGACCGUGUACAAGUCUCCUGGAACGGAGCGUCGUAGAGGGUGAGAAUCCCGUCUUUGACACGGACUACCAGUGCUCUGUGAUGCGCUCUCGAAGAGUCGAGUUGUUUGGGAAUGCAGCUCAAAAUGGGAGGUGAAUUCCUUCUAAAGCUAAAUAUUGGCGAGAGACCGAUAGCGAACAAGUACCGUGAGGGAAAGAUGAAAAGCACUUUGGAAAGAGAGUUAAACAGUACGUGAAAUUGUUGAAAGGGAAACGCUUGAAGUCAGUCGCGUCUGCCGAGACUCAGCCUUGCCUCCUGGCUUGGUGUACUUCUCGGUGGACGGGCCAGCAUCAGUUUUGACCGCCGGACAAGGGCGGGGGGAAGGUGGCACCUUCGGGUGUGUUAUAGCCCCUCGUCGCAUACGGCGGUUGGGAUUGAGGAACUCAGCACGCCUUUAUGGUCGGGGUUCGCCCACGUUCGUGCUUAGGAUGCUGGCGUAAUGGCUUUAAACGACCCGUCUUGAAACACGGACCAAGGAGUCUAACAUGCCCGCGAGUGUUCGGGUGGAAAACCCGUGCGCGUAAUGAAAGUGAAAGUUGGGACCCCUGUCGUGGGGGGCACCGACGCCCGGACCAGACCUUCUGUGACGGAUCUGCGGUAGAGCGUGUAUGUUGGGACCCGAAAGAUGGUGAACUAUGCCUGAAUAGGGUGAAGCCAGAGGAAACUCUGGUGGAGGCUCGUAGCGAUUCUGACGUGCAAAUCGAUCGUCAAAUUUGGGUAUAGGGGCGAAAGACUAAUCGAACCAU
rnacentral:rRNA from 1 species